UCUGAAGUUUCAACCCAUUCUCACUCCAAAGGCGUCAAAAACCGAAGCAUGGUCAAGCGCCCCUAGCGUCACUUUUAUGACGCCAAAUGUGCCUCUCGGCGUCGAAUAUCGAAGCACUACGACCUUCAUUGCUUUCAAUGGGAAACUUUUGGCGUCAGAAUUCGACACGAGGACAUGAGAUGUUUAUCGCUAUGAAAUCACGUGCAAGAAGUCUCAUUCAGCACACAUCGCGAUACUUGCUAUCAGUUCCACAGUUUGGCUGAAAAGACGUAAAGGCAGUCAGCCCAGUGGUGUUUCUGGAGAGGGAUUCCUUCAGAAAUGGAGAAGACAGAAAGCUGCGGAGGCAGAUAUAUGCAGCAGUCUAAAAUAUCAAGCUCAACAGCUCACUCAAGAGCCAACCCUCACAAACCUUCCUAAAAACUAAAAGAGCUAUUACUGAGUCUCAGCGAAUCUUGCCAUGAUCAGCUCUUCCCAGAAGAGAAGGAAGACCAAGGAAAUGAUUUGCUCAGGAUGAGGAAUGAAGAUGGCCAUCUUGUGCUCAAACAAACAGAAGUCCUCUGUAUUUUAAUUUGUACAGAUGAUCUUAUCAGCCAAAUGAGGGGUUUUGACCAAGUGAUGCUCUUGAAAGGAGUGAAAGAAGAGGAUGUGCUAAAUUCUCUUCAGAGAAAAAGCUUCUCAAAAGGUCUCAAAACAGCUUGAAGAAUGGUCUGGGAUCUUAGGACUGAGAGAUCCUCUGGCUGAGAACAAGCUACACCACAUCAGUGCUGGAUAUCAACCACAAACUGUUUCCAGACACGAAAGAAGAAGAACACGAUAGGGAGAUGAAACCAGUUUAGAUGUGAUGAUGGGAAUCAUUAUUUUCUGGAACAGUAUCUCAUGUCUUAUAUGUAUCACAUGAUCUGUAUCACAGUUGACUGGAUGGGACUGUGUGACUUUUAAGGACAUUUCAUCACUCAUCUGUGUGAACUGAUUUAUAU